ACUGUUCUCUCUAUAGUCACUGAGUACAUAGGACCUCACCAUGGGGUGGAGCUGUAUUAUCCUCUUCCUGGUGGCAACAACUACAGGUGUCCACUCACAGAUCCAACUGGAGCAGUCUGGGGCUGAACUGGUGAAGCCUGGAGCCUCAGUGAAGAUGUCAUGCAAGGCUUCUGGCUACACCUUCACGGACUACCUUAUAUCUUGGGUGAAGCAGAGUCAGGGAAAGAACCUUGAGUGGAUUGGAAAUAUUAAUACUUACUAUGGUAGUACUGGCUACAAUCAAAAUUUCAAGGGCAAGGCCACAUUGACUGUAGACAAAUCCUCCAGCACAGCCUAUAUGGAGCUCAGCAGUUUGAUAUUCGAGGACUCUGCGGUCUAUUAUUGUGCAAGACACAGUGUUGAAACCAUAUCCUGA